UUUUUUUUUUUUUUUUUUUUUCUCUUUUCAGCAACAUGAUGUGAGGUACGGGUAGGAAGG
rnacentral:ribozyme from 15 species